CACGUGGGGGGCAAGCGUUGUCCGGAUUCAUUGGGCGUAAAGAGCUCGUAGGCGGUUCGAUAAGUCGGGUGUGAAACCUCCAGGCUCAACCUGGAGACGCCACCCGAUACUGUCGUGACUAGAGUCCAGUAGGGGAGCGUGGAAUUCCUGGUGUAGCGGUGAAAUGCGCAGAUAUCAGGAGGAACACCAAUGGCGAAGGCAGCUCGCUGGGACGGUACUGACGCUGAGACGCGAAAGCGUGGGGAGCAAACAGG
rnacentral:rRNA from 1 species